rnacentral:rRNA from 1 species
UACGGGGGGGGCAAGCGUUGUUCGGAAUUACUGGGCGUAAAGGGCUCGUAGGUUGCCAACUAAGUCAGACGUGAAAUCCCUCGGCUUAACCGGGGAACUGCGUCUGAUACUGGAUGGCUUGAGUUCGGGAGAGGGAUGCGGAAUUCCAGGUGUAGCGGUGAAAUGCGUAGAUAUCUGGAGGAACACCGGUGGCGAAGGCGGCAUCCUGGACCGACACUGACACUGAGGAGCGAAAGCUAGGGGAGCAAACGGG